UACGUAGGUGGCGAGCGUUGUCCGGAUUUACUGGGCGUAAAGCGCGCGCAGGCGGUUCGUUAAGUCUGGUGUGAAAGCUCCCGGCUCAACUGGGAGAGGUCAUCGGAUACUGGCGGACUCGAGGGAUGCAGAGGAAGGUGGAAUUCCCGGUGUAGUGGUGAAAUGCGUAGAGAUCGGGAGGAACACCAGUGGCGAAGGCGGCCUUCUGGGCAUUUCCUGACGCUGAGGCGCGAAAGCCAGGGGAGCAAACGGG
rnacentral:rRNA from 1 species